AGCGGCGUACGGGUGCGGAACACGUGUGCACUGCCUUUAUCUGGGGGAUAGCCUUUCGAAAGGAAGAUUAAUACUCCAUAAUAUAUUGAUUGGCAUCAAUUAAUAUUGAAAGCUCCGGCGGAUAGAGAUGGGCACGCGCAAGAUUAGCUAGUUGGUGAGGUAACGGCUCACCAAGGCAAUGAUCUUUAGGGGGCCUGAGAGGGUGAUCCCCCACACUGGUACUGAGACACGGACCAGACUCCUACGGGAGGCAGCAGUGAGGAAUAUUGGACAAUGGGCGCAAGCCUGAUCCAGCCAUGCCGCGUGCAGGAUGAAGGUGUUAUGCAUCGUAAACUGCUUUUAUACAAGAAUAAACUCCUUCACGUGUGAAGGAUUGAAUGUACUGUAAGAAUAAGCAUCGGCUAACUUCGUGCCAGCAGCCGCGGUAAUACGAAGGAUGCAAGCGUUAUCCGGAUUAUGGGUAAAGGGUGCGUAGCGGUUUAAAGUCAGUGGUGAAGCCCGAAGUUUAUUCGGAAUGCAUUGAUAUGAUAGUGAAUAUUGAAUGGGGCCCGGCAAUGGAGGUCCCCGGUAACCGGAGUGGACAACUGCUUCACAGAUUGU
rnacentral:rRNA from 1 species